AGUGAACGCUGGCGGUAGGCCUAACACAUGCAAGUCGAACGGCAGCACAGUAAGAGCUUGCUCUUACGGGUGGCGAGUGGCGGACGGGUGAGGAAUACAUCGGAAUCUACUUUUUCGUGGGGGAUAACGUAGGGAAACUUACGCUAAUACCGCAUACGACCUACGGGUGAAAGCAGGGGAUCUUCGGACCUUGCGCGAUUGAUUGAGCCGAUGUCGGAUUAGCUAGUUGGCGGGGUAAAGGCCCACCAAGGCGACGAUCCGUAGCUGGUCUGAGAGGAUGAUCAGCCACACUGGAACUGAGACACGGUCCAGACUCCUACGGGAGACAGCAGUGGGGAAUAUUGGACAAUGGGCGCAAGCCUGAUCCAGCCAUACCGCGUGGGUGAAGAAGGCCUUCGGGUUGUAAAGCCCUUUUGUUGGGAAAGAAAAGCAGCAGGUUAAUACCCCGCUGUUCUGACGGUACCCAAAGAAUAAGCACCGGCUAACUUCGUG
rnacentral:rRNA from 1 species